rnacentral:misc_RNA from 1 species
UUUCCGUAGGUGAACCUGCGGAAGGAUCAUUCAUAAUAAAGUGUUUUAUGGCACUUUUUAAAAAUCCAUAUCCACCUUGUGUGCAAUGUUAGAUCUCGUCAAUCUUGGCGAGAUUUUUAUACAUCAACUCAUUCUUUAACUAAUUUGUCUGAAAAAUAUUAUGAAUACUUAAGUCUAAAUACAACUUUCAACAACGGAUCUCUUGGCUUUCGCAUCGAUGAGGAAC